CGUCUAUAUACGUAUAGCAUAUCAAUAAGCGGAGGAAAAGAAACUAACUAGGAUUCCCUUAGUAACGGCGAGUGAAGCGGGAAGAGCUCAAAUUUGAAAUCUUCAAGGUUCUACCUUGACGAAUUGUAGUUUAUAGAAGUGUUUUCUGUUAGUAGAGGUGGCUAAAAGUUCUUUGGAAUAGGACAUCAUAGAGGGUGAGAAUCCCGUAUUUGAUCAUUCUUCUAGCUGUGUGAUACACUUUCAACGAGUCGGAUUGUUUGGGAAUGCAGUCCAAAAUGGGUGGUAAAUUUCAUCUAAAGCUAAAUAUUGGCGAGAGACCGAUAGCGAACAAGUACCGUGAGGGAAAGAUGAAAAGAACUUUGAAAAGAGAGUUAAACAGUACGUGAAAUUGUCAAAAGGGAAGCGUUUGACACCAGUGUUGUUUUUCUCGAAAAUCAAUUACGAAUGUUUUAUUUUUGAGGAGUUAUGACUUCAUCGGCUUGCUUCCUUCCUUUACUGAAACUUUCUUAAUGCACUUUUCGGUUAACAAGUCAACAUCAAUUUCUUUUGUUGUAAAAGGGUAUGAGGAAGGUGGCUUUCUUUUCGGAGAAAGUGUUUAUAGCCUUGUAGCCUCUGCAAUCGGAGAGAUUGAGGUCUGCAGCGUAGAUCCUUCGGGGUUAGAUACAGUUUGUGCUAAGUUAUAGCUUUUCAUAGACAACUUGUUGACUAUGUUUAGUCUUGUAGCUUACUCGCAUGACGCUAUUUUACCUACGCUUAGGAUGUUGACACACGCGCGUGCUCG
rnacentral:rRNA from 1 species